AUUGAACGCUGGCGGCAGGCCUAACACAUGCCAGUCGAACGGUAACAGGAAACAGCUUGCUGUUUCGCUGACGAGUGGCGGACGGGUGAGUAAUGUCUGGGAAACUGCCUGAUGGAGGGGGAUAACUACUGGAAACGGUAGCUAAUACCGCAUAACGUCGCAAGACCAAAGAGGGGGACCUUCGGGCCUCUUGCCAUCGGAUGUGCCCAGAUGGGAUUAGCUAGUAGGUGGGGUAACGGCUCACCUAGGCGACGAUCCCUAGCUGGUCUGAGAGGAUGACCAGCCACACUGGAACUGAGACACGGUCCAGACUCCUACGGGAGGCAGCAGUGGGGAAUAUUGCACAAUGGGCGCAGGCCUGAUGCAGCCAUGCCGCGUGUAUGAAGAAGGCCUUCGGGUUGUAAAGUACUUUCAGCGGGGAGGAAGGGAGUAAAGUUAAUACCUUUACUCAUUGACGUUACCCGCAGAAGAAGCACCGGCUAACUCCGUG
rnacentral:rRNA from 1 species